UACGUAGGGCGCGAGCGUUGUCCGGAAUUAUUGGGCGUAAAGGGCUCGUAGGCGGUCUGUCACGUCGGGAGUGAAAACACGGGGCUUAACCCCGUGCCUGCUUCCGAUACGGGCAGACUAGAGGUAUGCAGGGGAGAACGGAAUUCCUGGUGUAGCGGUGAAAUGCGCAGAUAUCAGGAGGAACACCGGUGGCGAAGGCGGUUCUCUGGGCAUUACCUGACGCUGAGGAGCGAAAGUGUGGGGAGCGAACAGG
rnacentral:rRNA from 1 species